rnacentral:rRNA from 1 species
UACGUAGGGUGCAAGCGUUAAUCGGAAUUACUGGGCGUAAAGCGUGCGCAGGCGGUGAUGUAAGACAGAUGUGAAAUCCCCGGGCUCAACCUGGGACCUGCAUUUGUGACUGCAUCGCUAGAGUACGGUAGAGGGGGAUGGAAUUCCGCGUGUAGCAGUGAAAUGCGUAGAUAUGCGGAGGAACACCGAUGGCGAAGGCAGCCCCCUGGGCUAGCACUGACGCUCAGGCACGAAAGCGUGGGGAGCAAACAGG